CACGUAGGGCGCGAGCGUUGUCCGGAAUUAUUGGGCGUAAAGAGCUCGUAGGCGGCCUGUUGCGUCCGCUGUGAAAGCCCGGGGCUUAACCCCGGGUCUGCAGUGGAUACGGGCAGGCUAGAGGUAGGUAGGGGAGAAUGGAAUUCCCGGUGUAGCGGUGAAAUGCGCAGAUAUCGGGAGGAACACCGGUGGCGAAGGCGGGUCUCUGGGCCUUACCUGACGCUGAGGAGCGAAAGCGUGGGGAGCGAACAGG
rnacentral:rRNA from 1 species